AGAUGAAUAAGGAAGCUAUUGUCCAUUUCUACUAUCAGCUUUUUGCAGGUGGAUACAUUCAAAGACCGCAUUGCAUCUGCACUUGAGACAUUGAGGCCAACAACUUCAUGGGAAAGAACCUCAACUGCAGGCCAAGCAUUAGAUUAUGGUUGCUUAUAUGGUUGCUUAUAGAUAUGGACUCCCAGCUGAUAGAUUAUGGAUUAGUGUUUGUGAAGACGAUGAUGAAACUUUUGCAGUAUGGCACAAUGUGGUGUAUCCAUGGAGCAAGCCUAUUGAUGAAGUUAGAGAUGUAUGAUGUAAGUAUUUUAUUGAUGAAUGGCUUAAAGCAAUCCUUGAA